rnacentral:rRNA from 1 species
UGGGGAAUAUUGGACAAUGGGCGCAAGCCUGAUCCAGCCAUGCCGCGUGCGUGAUGAAGGCCCUAGGGUUGUAAAGCUCUUUCACCGGUGAAGAUAAUGACGGUAACCGGAGAAGAAGCCCCGGCUAACUUCGUGCCAGCAGCCGCGGUAAUACGAAGGGGGCUAGCGUUGUUCGGAUUUACUGGGCGUAAAGCGCACGUAGGCGGACUUUUAAGUCAGGGGUGAAAUCCCGGGGCUCAACCCCGGAACUGCCUUUGAUACUGGAAGUCUUGAGUAUGGUAGAGGUGAGUGGAAUUCCGAGUGUAGAGGUGAAAUUCGUAGAUAUUCGGAGGAACACCAGUGGCGAAGGCGGCUCACUGGACCAUUACUGACGCUGAGGUGCGAAAGCGUGGGGAGCAAACAGG